GGGUAAGUCCUGUACGAUCUGCUCCCGCUGAACCCGCCCAGGGCCGGAAGGCAGCAAGUGCAGGCGGUCGUAGCGAUGCGAUGCAGGUAGCUUACCCGCU
rnacentral:SRP_RNA from 1 species